GCCGCGGCCGGGACCACCUUCGAGAUAGUCCUAGAACCCUCGACGUCUCUCGGCAUUCUUUUCCAUGGAUACGAUAUGUUCCGUUUAUGGGAUUUACGUUGUUCGAGUGUUGAGCCUCGGUGUUUCGCGGUGAACGACGUACGCGUAUUUUCGAAUACUAGAGCUGCGGAGAUUGUACCUCGGUGAUGUUCACAACGUGGGGAAAGCCGUCUUCUUGCCCGUAAAUUAGUUUUCAUGUUAAGGCCAAUCUCGCCAGCUCCAGAGUAUUCUUAUGGGAAAAUUUUACAUGUGUACUAGUACCUACAAAUGAAUUCGUGUUGUGUUGAUGAAUCGAGUUUCGAGAAGUCCAUUCAUAGAAUGAGUUUUCAUGGUGAUAUUUCUAGGUUCCGAGUAUACUUCUAAAAAUAUCUCGAGUGUGUGCUUAUAGUACCAGUAAUUGACUCGCUAACUUCAAGAUAUUGCUCGAAGCUAUGAAGACUGUCCUUUACUGAUAAACGUGAUAUGAGAUUUGUUCGUGUAUAAAAUGAGUUUCCAUGAUAAUGAUUCUAUUAAACCCUGUUUUAAUG